CAUCCCUACAAUAUCACUGAAGUCUAGUGGCUCCAUUGAGAACACUUGUUUUGAAAUUUGCCCAACAAUAUCGGCAACCAUCGUGGCCUCGUCCUUACUAAUGUGGAGGACAUACAAAAAAAGAAAGAAAAAGAUGUCGCUUUAGAUAGGUAACUUCAAAUAUAGUAGUUCACAAAGCAGCAUGCAGAGGAAGAGGCCAAUGAAGGAAGGGACCAAUGAAAAAGAAGGUAGCAAGCACAAUAAUGGCUGCAUUUGUCUACAUCACCCUAAUAAGCAUCGGAAUAUUUUUAUUAGACUAUGUUAACAGCUUAGCAAGGAUGAAUAUGGAUAUAUUAUGUAGAAGACAAUGCCAUGACUCAAGGAAGAACCAAGAUGGAGGUGGCAUGCAUAUAUAAGCUAAUGGGCACGGGUACGAUGAAGUAUAGACGACAGUAAGGCUCAUUCAGAGGACUGUGGGAAAGGUUUGAUAUUCUUCAUCCGCUUUCAUGGUCAUUUCUCAUGACUCAUCCUUUAUUAUAUAAAAGAGAAGUCAGUCGGCGAUUUUCGUUGCGACACGUGUAUCUUCAUUUUUCAUAACUAACAACUUAUUCUAUAUCAUCUUUGUUUGGUUCCACUAUAGAGGAUGCUUAGUAAUAGUGAUUUACAUGGAAAAUGCAGCUGAAAAGUGAAAACUCACCAAGUACUCAAAUCUUUGCCUGAUGUUCCUGCGACCUCCCUGAGAGCUUCUCUCCAUUU
rnacentral:lncRNA from 1 species